CCUACGGGUGGCUGCAGUGGGGAAUAUUGGACAAUGGGGGGAACCCUGAUCCAGCCAUGCCGCGUGUGUGAAGAAGGCCCUCGGGUUGUAAAGCACUUUCAGUGAGGAAGAACGCCUGGUGGUUAAUACCAUCAGGAAAGACAUCACUCACAGAAGAAGCACCGGCUAACUCCGGGCCAGCAGCCGCGGUAAUACGGAGGGUGCGAGCGUUAAUCGGAAUUACUGGGCGUAAAGCGCGCGUAGGUGGCUUGAUAAGCCGGUUGUGAAAGCCCCGGGCUCAACCUGGGAACGGCAUCCGGAACUGUCAAGCUAGAGUGCAGGAGAGGAAGGUAGAAUUCCCGGUGUAGCGGUGAAAUGCGUAGAGAUCGGGAGGAAUACCAGUGGCGAAGGCGGCCUUCUGGACUGACACUGACACUGAGGUGCGAAAGCGUGGGUAGCAAACAGGAUUAGAUACCCUUGUAGUC
rnacentral:rRNA from 1 species